AUUGAACGCUGGCGGCAGGCUUAACACAUGCAAGUCGAGCGGAGCGAGGGUGCUUGCACCUUAGCUUAGCGGCGGACGGGUGAGUAAUGCUUAGGAAUCUGCCUAUUAGUGGGGGACAACAUUCCGAAAGGAAUGCUAAUACCGCAUACGCCCUACGAGGGAAAGCAGGGGAUCUUCGGACCUUGCGCUAAUAGAUGAGUCUAAGUCGGAUUAGCUAGUUGGUGGGGUAAAGGCCUACCAAGGCGACGAUCUGUAGCGGGUCUGAGAGGAUGAUCCGCCACACUGGGACUGAGACACGGCCCAGACUCCUACGGGAGGCAGCAGUGGGGAAUAUUGGACAAUGGGCGGAAGCCUGAUCCAGCCAUGCCGCGUGUGUGAAGAAGGCCUUUUGGUUGUAAAGCACUUUAAGCGAGGAGGAGGCUACUUAGAUUAAUACUCUGGGAUAGUGGACGUUACUCGCAGAAUAAGCACCGGCUAACUCUGUGCCAGCCGCCGCCGUAA
rnacentral:rRNA from 1 species